rnacentral:rRNA from 1 species
AACGAACGCUGGCGGCAUGCCUAACACAUGCAAGUCGAACGAGACCUUCGGGUCUAGUGGCGCACGGGUGCGUAACGCGUGGGAAUCUACCCUCAGGUUCGGAAUAACUCAGAGAAAUUUGAGCUAAUACCGGAUGAUGACGUAAGUCCAAAGAUUUAUCGCCUGAGGAUGAGCCCGCUUAGGAUUAGGUAGUUGGUGAGGUAAAGGCUCACCAAGCCGACGAUCCUUAGCUGGUCUGAGAGGAUGAUCAGCCACACUGGGACUGAGACACGGCCCAGACUCCUACGGGAGGCAGCAGUGGGGAAUAUUGGACAAUGGGCGAAAGCCUGAUCCAGCCAUGCCGCGUGAGUGAUGAAGGCCUUAGGGUUGUAAAGCUCUUUUACCCGGGAUGAUAAUGACAGUACCGGGAGAAUAAGCUCCGGCUAACUCCGUG